AGAGAUAGGCCUUUGAGACAUUCGAUAUAUUCCAUGUUAUUAGACAUGAGGACUUGGUACUUGCGACAGAUCGUUUGACUACUUGCCAUUGUGCUCAUUCGCACAUGCUUGUGAGGGUCGCUCCCUACAAGCCGGCACUCCGGAGAUGGCCAUCGCGAUACAUAUUCGCCGUGCGGGAUUGGGCGCCGAAGUGGAUUGCCGUGGGGCAGGCUCAUUCCUAGGGUGGGGAUGUUGACUACCACGGGGCCAUUAGGCUCGGCACCGGCCAGACAGCCUUCGGGUGGGUCUCAGGGCCAUAGACAGCCUUCGGGUGGGUCUCUUCAGAUUCGACUUGAGUAUUCGUUAUGACAUGUGGACAGAUGAUGACUUAGAGUAUUAUUUGGACAUUGACUAGAAUAGUAAACAACGGAACUUUACUAUUUCGCAUUGUGAACAUUAUGAUAGUUGGAGACUUUUACUUCAUGCAUAGUUGUUUCAUACUUAUGCUAUUUAUGCUAAGUAGAGAUAUCAUGUUGUAGUAAGUUACAUUUUACUUACCUUUCGCUUCUCU
rnacentral:lncRNA from 1 species